CACGUAGGGUGCGAGCGUUGUCCGGAAUUAUUGGACGUAAAGAGCUCGUAGGCGGUGUGUCGCGUCGGCCGUGAAAACCUGCAGCUUAACUGUGGGCUUGCGGUCGAUACGGGCAUCACUGGAGUUCGGCAGGGGAGACUGGAAUUCCUGGUGUAGCGGUGAAAUGCGCAGAUAUCAGGAGGAACACCGGUGGCGAAGGCGGGUCUCUGGGCCGAUACUGACGCUGAGGAGCGAAAGCGUGGGUAGCGAACAGG
rnacentral:rRNA from 1 species